rnacentral:rRNA from 1 species
AUCUACGGCCAUGCCACCCUGAACAAGCCUGAUCCUGUCUGAUCUCAGAAACUAAGCAGGGUCGGGCCUGGUCAGGGUGGAUGAGAGACCACCUAGGAAGACCAGUGCUGUAGGCA